AUGAACGCUGGCGGCGUGCCUCAUAAAUGGAAGUCGAGCGAACGGACGAGAAGCUUGCUUUUCUGAUGUUAGCGGCGGACGGGUGAGUAACACGUGGAUAAACUACCUAUAAGACUGGGAUAAAUUCGGGAAACCGGAGGUAAUACCGGAAAAUAUUUUGAACCGCAUGGUUCAAAAGUGAAAGACGGUCUUGCUGUCACUUAUAGAUGGAUCCGCGCUGCAUUAGCUAGUUGGUAAGGUAACGGCUUACCAAGGCAACGAUGCAUAGCCGACCUGAGAGGGUGAUCGGCCACACUGGAACUGAGACACGGUCCAGACUCCUACGGGAGGCAGCAGUAGGGAAUCUUCCGCAAUGGGCGAAAGCCUGACGGAGCAACGCCGCGUGAGUGAUGAAGGUCUUCGGAUCGUAAAACUCUGUUAUUAGGGAAGAACAUAUGUGUAAGUAACUGUGCACAUCUUGACGGUACCUAAUCAGAAAGCCACGGCUAACUACGUG
rnacentral:rRNA from 1 species